rnacentral:rRNA from 1 species
UACGUAGGGAGCAAGCGUUGUCCGGAAUCAUUGGGCGUAAAGCGCGCGUAGGUGGCCCUGUAAGUCCGUUGUGAAAGUCAAAGGCUCAACCUUUGAAAGCCGAUGGAUACUGCAGGGCUAGAGUACGGAAGAGGCGAGUGGAAUUCCUGGUGUAGCGGUGGAAUGCGCAGAUAUCAGGAGGAACACCAAUAGCGAAGGCAGCUCGCUGGGACGGUACUGACGCUGAGGCGCGAAAGCGUGGGGAGCAAACAGG